UUCCUGGUGGUCUAGUGGUUAGGAUUUGGCACUCUCAAUGCUGUGGCCCAGGUUCGAUUCCCGGUCAGGGAA